GGGCAUGUAGCGCAGUUGGUAGCGCGCUCGCUUAGCAAUUUGUGUUCGCUAUGAUUACGUAAUUAAUUGCGAGAGGUCUUGGGUUCAAUUCCCAACUUGUCCA
rnacentral:tRNA from 1 species